UCGUGCUAGAUGGGAAGGUAGCGGUGUCCUGUAACCUGCAAUCCGCUAUAGCAGGAUUGAACGCCUUUUUGAGGGGAUUGUAUUUUCAAGCAGCCCUGAGCACGUGAUGAUGAGAGUUGGGUCCUACGCAAUGAAAACUUGUGAACCCCGUCAGGUCCGGAAGGAAGCAGCGGUAAGCAGGACCUUUCAUGUGCCGUAGGUCAGCCUGGUUUGAGUUAACGACUUGGGUAACGUUGGGGGUAUGUCUUCGAUGGAGGUGCACGA
rnacentral:SRP_RNA from 1 species